rnacentral:rRNA from 1 species
UGGCGAACGGGUGAGUAACGCGUGAGGAACCUGCCUCAAAGAGGGGGACAACAGUUGGAAACGACUGCUAAUACCGCAUAAGCCCACGGGUCGGCAUCGACCAGAGGGAAAAGGAGCAAUCCGCUUUGAGAUGGCCUCGCGUCCGAUUAGCUAGUUGGUGAGGUAAUGGCCCACCAAGGCAACGAUCGGUAGCCGGACUGGGAGGUUGAACGGCCACAUUGGGACUGAGACACGGCCCAGACUCCUACGGGAGGCAGCAUG